rnacentral:lncRNA from 1 species
UAAAAAAUUUUAGUUCAGUGAUGCAUUUGCAAACCGAGGUCGAGUACAGUGGGGAAAAGUGUAUUUAACCCAUCUUAUAUUACAUAACAUAAAUCCCAGGUUCUAUAGACCUUUACAUAACUUAUGAAUCGAAUAUCAUUACACAACAUAGUACUAACAGUAUUUAUUACAUUUACUACUUAAAUAAGCACAUGCGCUUAAUAAAAGAAUAUUCAACAACUUUGCCCUUUCCUUUGUCUUUUCCAGAUGGACCAACAACUUCAUUCUUAACUGAAAACAUUAUAUUUAACGCAAGGAUGAGCAACAAGCUUGCUCAGCAAGGAAAUAAACAGCUAAAUAUAAUGGAACAUAAAUAUUAUAUCAAUGAGGAUUCAAUAAUAAAUACUGAACAAGAUAAUUCUUUAAAAGUGUUGAGUCUGAAAAAUUAGACUUUAGCAUGCUGUAAGGUCAAAUGACCAGUGAACUCUUUACUAGAAUUGACAGUAAUAAUACUACAAUCCAUGGAUACAUACAGUUUAUAAAAGCUGUUUUAUAUCCUAGACUCGUACUUUAGGUGAUCCGCUUAAGUACCCUAUAUUGUGCACAACAUAACAGUCUAAUGACACUUUACAUGUCCUUCGGAAUCAUAUGUCCGGUACAAUAUUCUCCUAUAAAAGGGUUGUUCGUUCACAGCAUUAUAUAAGAAUCCAUACAACAAAAUGGUUUGGAAAGCAUUAGCUGAUAACUUCAUGAAUAAUAUCAAUAUAUCUCAACAAUUGUCUAACCGAAGUAAUGGUAUUGACAUACUUUCAAUGUAAACUCAUUCAAGAUAGAAAAGUUGAUAUUCUAUUCUUUUGAAGCUGAUUGGAAUAAAAAGGCUAUUUAACCUUAUAUUAUUCAUAAAUAAGGACAGACAGUUCAGAAAUUAAAGAACCUGUCCACUGCAGAAUAAUUGCUCAAUAGAGAGUAAAGAGUUAGAAACUUGCCUUGUUUGUAGACUAUUGAUAAGAUUCAGCUUAAUAUGUUCUCACAGAGCCUACACAAUUUAUUUGCAUUUACAAGCCUAUUAGCCAAAUAGCCAAGUCACAUAGUUUGUGGAGAUUCACACAUCACAUAAUUCAGUGGUCAAGUUUGUAGUUAGAUUCCUACAUUUCAUACAUUUUUCAAAUAUCUCAUCCAUGUUUUCAUAUUAGUCAAUCUUCUCUUUAAUGGGGUUAAACAUACUUACAAUCAAAUAAUAGGAAUCAAAUUAUUAUUAUUUGCAUUAAUCAAGCAUGUUAGCCAUAUAGUCAAAUCAUAUAUCAUGUAAUUUCAGUGAUCAUGGUUAGAUUUCUUAUAUUUGAUACAUUUUUCAAAUAUCUCAUCCAUACUUUCACACUAGAUAUUUUUCACUUUGAUGGGGUUCAACAUGCCUACCACAAGUAUUAAAAAAUCAAAUUAAAAUUACUAUUUCUAGCCACUUUAGUUCAUUCCAACACUUGAAUUAUAUCUAAUUCAUAUAAGUUCACCCUCUUGUAGCUUCAACUAGGUCUAAUAAGCACAACACUGCAUUAGCAGUUAGUUGAGGUUACCUAUUGCAACUCACUAUUAGUAGCCCUAUGCUUCCCUCUUUAUCACAUUUUUAUUCUCAACUUGUAAGUAUAGUAUAUAUGUUUUCAACACAUACUCAAGUUACACAUGAUGAUUAAUUUCUUGAAGAUUUCAAUUCUCAACCAAAGUGGUUAGUAGACUGCUUUAGCAGUCACUUGACAUCAACUGCUGCCGCUCAUAGGCAGCAGUCCCCUUUAUUUUGGCCUUGUUUAGUUUAUAGCUUCCCUUAAGAAUUUUAUCUUACUAACUGCAACUAACAGAAAACAAAAGAGAGCAUGUCCAGCUCAACAUUCUACAGUCUUCUUGUUGCCUUUCUAUGUCAGCAGCCAAGCUUAGCUUGGCCUUGUGAGGUUCAGCUAAGCUUGGUGUGGCCUAGCUUGGCCUCACGACCCCUAAUUCACAUACAGAGCUGCUACUGCAACUGCUAACCUGACAACUGUGGCCCAUACAUAAUCUAUGUAGGUCAAGAUGGUGUGUCAAACCGCAUGUUUGGUUCUACAGCGCAGUGCAGCACCACGCUAGGCGUGGACUGCCACUGCCUGCAGCAGCCCCGGCUGGUUUUUGCCCAAGCUCAGCCACUUUUACAAGUCUAAAACCUUUAAUACAUAAGUUUUAUUGGCAUCUAUUUGUAAAGAUAAUGAGGAUGCCCUUGCAGAUUAUAACAACUACUAAGCUCCCCAAAUUGAACACCCUGACUGCCCAAAACAUAGAUCAAAGAUAGCUAGGCAUGCUUACUUUUAACUUUUAAUUUUUAUUUUAAAAUUUGUUUCUGUUUUCAUUAAUAUAUCAAAACACUUUAAAUAGCAUCAUAUAUGAUGUACAAACCUGGCCCAAGCAUUAGUUUUGGCCUAUAAUAGAUGUUCAGCUGAAACAGUUCUCUUAGGCCUUUUAUCAAACAGUUGGUGGGCAUGGUUAUAAGCUACUAGUUCCAUAACCAUUUGUUUAUAUGAUAACCCAUUUUAUCCUCCUUAUUUCUCCACCGCCCAACCUAGCUGUUUGUGCCCAAGUUCAGUCCAUAUAAGCAUAGCCAAAGCAUAACAGUUAAUUUAAUAUAACAACUCAACACCUAUCAUGUUAUCAGUUAGUUAAAAUAGUAACAUAGUAUGUCCCUCAGUUAGAUCCUACAAUAGUUUACAUAGCAACUCAAGCAUCCAUAUAACAGUCUUUGAGUCUAUAACAGAAAAUAGGCAAGGUUCAGUACUAAGCCAUCAAAACAGUCCUUAUAAUACAAUGACAGUUUUAUAAAGCAACACAUAGUGCUAGCAGUCAGUCACCAUGGAAAUAUAGCAUAGCAUAAAAUAGAAAAUAGUCCUUCAAAUCUCUUAACACAAGUGUUAUAACAUAAUGUACUUACUAUGUUUCAUGAUUUAAAGACCCCAAUACAAGGUAUGACUAUCCAGAGAUAGGUUUCCAAAACAGUUAACAAAGAGUUCACCUUUUCAGUUCUUGUUAUUUUGUUUUGCUCAAUUGAUACACCAAUACAUGUUGUGCAUAAGCAUAGAGGUUAUUUGAAGCAUAACUAUACUUUUUAAGAGAGAUUAACCACAUUUUGGACUCCAUUCCUAGCCAUCCUAUCUUGACACUAUAACAGUUUUAGACUAGCAAUUUGGUCAUGGUUUAUCACACCAAAACAGUAGCAAGCAUGGACAUAUAUGUCUUUCUAAAACAUUAACCUUGUAUUUACCAUAUCCAUGAUUUUAAAGCAUCUAGAGGCAAGGUCCUUAUGUUUUAAUUUUAAAACAGCCCUUCAAUCUCUUAAUCACAAGGGUUAUAACAUCAUGUACUUGAUAUAUACUAUAUAUUCAUAAUUUAAAAACUUGCAUACAAGGUAUCAUUAUUUCCAAAAUAGGCUUCCACAUCAUUUUGUCAAAACUAACUAUUUCAGUCCAAAGUGGUAUAGCACACCAUACCAGUCCAAUCCUAUUGCACUAACAGUCAGUAUAACACAAGGAUGUUACUCACAGCCAGUCAACACAUCAACAUAGCACAACAGCAAUAUAUCAUAGCAGUCAUCUAGUAAAGGAGAUUAGUAUCACAGCCAUGGUAGUCAAUAGCAGUCCAUAUUAAUAUAGCCAUAAUAUAGCAGCUCUUUUAUGUUACUUUAGUUUUGUUUUAUCAAAACAUGAUCUUGAAUACUAAUCAACUACUCACAAUUUUGUAUAUGUAACCUUUUAGCAUACUUGAUACUUUAAUAAUAUAUGGUUUAUUCGAUAUCCUUUUUCUCUAAAUCAUAGUUAGCAUACAAGAUCCUUAAAACUGUGGCUCAGUCAUAGUUAAAUGCUUAGCUCAUGUAUGGACUGAUAUACAACCAAUUAUAAUCAUCUUAUGUGCAUUUAAGAUUGACAUAUAAUCAUCUUAUCUAGUAAAGGAGAUUAGUAUCACAGCCAUGGUAGUCAAUAGCAGUCCAUAUUAAUAUAGCCAUAAUAUAGCAGCUCUUUUAUGUUACUUUAGUUUUGUUUUAUCAAAACAUGAUCUUGAAUACUAAUCAACUACUCACAAUUUUGUAUAUGUAACCUUUUAGCAUACUUGAUACUUUAAUAAUAUAUGGUUUAUUCGAUAUCCUUUUUCUCUAAAUCAUAGUUAGCAUACAAGAUCCUUAAAACUGUGGCUCAGUCAUAGUUAAAUGCUUAGCUCAUGUAUGGACUGAUAUACAACCAAUUAUAAUCAUCUUAUGUGCAUUUAAGAUUGACCUAUUAGCACCUUUGUAUCAUUAGGACUACAAUAUAAUGUUGGCAUAAAAUUAGUCUUGUCUGUACUCCUAUUCAACACAAGUUACAGCAACAGUCCUCUCCUGAGUAUUUUAUCAAACAGAUGGUGGGCAGUCUACAUAUCUCCUUACCUUACUUAUGUUAUUAGCUUGGUUCUACCAGCCUUAUGGCUUAAACAACAAGAAGCAAAUAACCAAUCUUUAGCAGUCUUAAUCACAACAGCUCACAAUAGUCAUUUAUGUUACUUAGCCACUAGCAGUCUAAUUGCUAACACUUAAAGGAAUAGGAACGAAGGAUUAGGAAGGCCAUAAUGCUUACUUGUUGAUUCGAAUGGUUACAAUGGAGUUGUACUGCCCAGCCUCUCCUCUUCCUCUAGCCGUACUCUUCACUCUCACUCUAUAUGAUCGUUACUGCUAUUUCUUUUGGACUCAGUUAGGUAAUGAAGCUAAUUUGUUUUGGGCAAUAAACUUGGCCUUUUAUGGCUGAGCCUAGCUUUUUCUACUGUUACUCACAUCACCUCUAGUUGGCCCCUACUCUGCCACCCUACCAAGCAGCUGCACUCAGUCCUAGUCUAGCUAAUUUGGCCCUUACCCAGCCACCCUAGCAGACCUUAGCUUACUUGCUACCUUAUCAUCUGCAAUUGUAGCUGACCUGUUAUUUGUUUGUUAGCUAAACUAGCUUACCUGCUAACCAUAACCAACAUCUUCUAAUUGCUUGUUUACGGUUGAACUGAAGCAAUUGAAAAAACAUUAUUAAUAUGGACUCAACUCAUAUUUAAAUUAAUUGAAAAGGCUUACAAGUAUAAUUAGUAAAAUUUAAUAUCGCC